rnacentral:rRNA from 1 species
AUUGAACGCUGGCGGCAGGCCUAACACAUGCAAGUCGAGCGGAUGAAGGGAGCUUGCUCCUGGAUUCAGCGGCGGACGGGUGAGUAAUGCCUAGGAAUCUGCCUGGUAGUGGGGGAUAACGUCCGGAAACGGGCGCUAAUACCGCAUACGUCCUGAGGGAGGAAGUGGGGGAUCUUCGGACCUCACGCUAUCAGAUGAGCCUAGGUCGGAUUAGCUAGUUGGUGGGGUAAAGGCCUACCAAGGCGACGAUCCGUAACUGGUCUGAGAGGAUGAUCAGUCACACUGGAACUGAGACACGGUCCAGACUCCUACGGGAGGCAGCAGUGGGGAAUAUUGGACAAUGGGCGAAAGCCUGAUCCAGCCAGGCCGCGUGUGUGAAGAAGGUCUUCGGAUUGUAAAGCACUUUAAGUUGGGAGGAAGGGCAGUAAGUUAAUACCUUGCUGUUUUGACGUUACCAACAGAAUAAGCACCGGCUAACUUCGUG